GACAUGCGAUACUUGGUGUGAACUGCAGAAUCCCGUGAACCAUCGAGUCUUUGAACGCAAGUUGCGCCCCAAGCCUUCAGGCCGAGGGCACGUCUGCCUGGGUGUCACAAAUCGUCGUCCCCCCAAUCCUUCUGGAUACAGGAUUGAAACUGGUCUCCCGUGUGAUACCGCACGCGGUUGGCCGAAAUCCGAGCUCAAGACGUUCGGAACGUCUCGGCACGCGGUGGUGAAAAAUCCUUCAUCGUGUCGGUCGAUCCUGUCCUGGAGCUCUCGAUGACCCGAAGUCCUCAACGCGACCCCAGGUCAGGCGGGAUCCCCCGCUGAGUUUAA
rnacentral:misc_RNA from 1 species